UACGUAGGGUGCGAGCGUUAAUCGGAAUUACUGGGCGUAAAGCGUGCGCAGGCGGUUUUGUAAGCCAGAUGUGAAAUCCCCGGGCUCAACCUGGGAAUGGCAUUUGGGACUGCAAGGCUUGAGUGCGGCAGAGGAGACUGGAAUUCCUGGUGUAGCAGUGAAAUGCGUAGAUAUCAGGAGGAAUACCGAUGGCGAAGGCAGGUCUCUGGGCUGACACUGACGCUCAUGCACGAAAGCAUGGGGAGCGAACGGG
rnacentral:rRNA from 1 species